rnacentral:rRNA from 1 species
CCCUUAGAUGUUCUGGGCCGCACGCGCGCUACACUGAAUGGAUCAACGUGUUUUCCCUUCCCGAGAGGGACGGGUAACCCGCUGAACCCCAUUCGUGGUAGGGAUCGGAGCUUGCAAUUGUUCUCCGUGAACCAGGAAUUCCCAGUAAGCGCAAGUCAUAAGCUUGCGUUGAUUACGUCCCUGCCCUUUGUACACACCGCCCGUCGCUCCUACCGAUUGAAUGUGUUGGUGAGGAGCUCGGAUUGGCAGCAGUUGGUGGUUCGCCACCGGCUAUUGCUGAGAAGUCCUCCAAACCGCCCCAUUUAGAGGAAGGAGAAGUCGUAACA